rnacentral:rRNA from 1 species
UGGGGAAUAUUGGACAAUGGGCGCAAGCCUGAUCCAGCCAUGCCGCGUGAGUGAUGACGGCCUUAGGGUUGUAAAGCUCUUUCGCUAGGGACGAUAAUGACGGUACCUAGACAAGAAGCCCCGGCUAACUUCGUGCCAGCAGCCGCGGUAAUACGAAGGGGGCUAGCGUUGUUCGGAAUUACUGGGCGUAAAGCGCGUGUAGGCGGGCUUUUAAGUCAGGGGUGAAAUGCCAAGGCUCAACCUUGGAACUGCCUUUGAUACUGGAAGUCUUGAGUCCGGGAGAGGUGAGUGGAACUGCGAGUGUAGAGGUGAAAUUCGUAGAUAUUCGCAAGAACACCAGUGGCGAAGGCGGCUCACUGGCCCGGAACUGACGCUGAGACGCGAAAGCGUGGGGAGCAAACAGGAUUAGAUACCCUGGUAGUCCACGCUGUAAACGAUGGAUGCUAGCCGUUGGGGAGCUUGCUCUUCAGUGGCGCAGCUAACGCUUUAAGCAUCCCGCCUGGGGAGUACGGUCGCAAGA